rnacentral:rRNA from 1 species
AUCAACUUUCGAUGGUAGGAUAGAGGCCUACCAUGGUGGUAACGGGUAACGGGGUGUUAGGGCACGACACCGGAGAGGGAGCCUGAGAAACGGCUACCACAUCCAAGGAUGGCAGCAGGCGCGCAAAUUACCCAAUCCCGACACGGGGAGGUAGUGACAAUAAAUAACAAUACGGGGUUCUUUAGGAUUUCGUAAUUGGAAUGAGUACAAUUUAAAUCUCUUAACGAGGAACAAUUGGAGGGCAAGUCUGGUGCCAGCAGCCGCGGUAAUUCCAGCUCCAAUAGCGUAUAUUAAAGUUGUUGCAGUUAAAAAGCUCGUAGUUGAAUUUCGGGGUUAGUAGGCUGGUCGUGCCACUGGUACGUACUGGUCUCACUGAUUCCUCCUUCCUGAUGAACUGUAAUGCCAUUAAUUUGGUGUUGCAGGGAAACUGGACUGUUACUUUGAAAAAAUUAGAGUGUUUAAAGCAAGCUAACGCUUGAAUACAUUAGCAUGGAAUAAUGAAAUAGGACGUUCGAUCCUAUUUUGUUGGUUUCUAGGAUUGACGUAAUGAUUAAUAGGGAUAGUUGGGGGCAUUAGUAUUCAAUUGUCAGAGGUGAAAUUCUUGGAUUUAUUGAAGACUAACUACUGCGAAAGCAUUUGCCAAGGAUGUUUUCAUUAAUCAAGAACGAAAGUUAGGGGAUCGAAGACGAUCAGAUACCGUCGUAGUCUUAACCAUAAACUAUGCCGACUAGGGAUCGGAUGAUGUUAAUUUUUUAAUGACUCAUUCGGCGCCUUACGGGAAACCAAAGUGUUUGGGUUC